rnacentral:lncRNA from 1 species
AACGAAGUAAUAUAUUGUGUGUUUGUCGAUUGUGAAGUUUUUCAUUCAUAUAUCUCGUAUGAAUUAAAAUAAGUUUGUAAUUACUGAGAAUAUAAUGAUCAAAGGUACACGCCAGCACGAACAUCAGAGAUUUUAUUCAGUAUAAAGCAUUCGAGAGUCUCAUACGGAGACUACAUUGACGGCCGAUUACUAGAAUAAAUUUGUCGCCAGAGUAGACAUAAUAUGUGUUUAUUUACAAAUAAAGUUUUGCUCGAAGUUUGAAUUUGAUUAUCGAAACACCG